AGCUUUUAGCACAAUGUCUGCCCUGGAGUAAACAGGAAACAAAUUUUUGCCGUCACUACUUUAUUGAGUCCCCACACAAAGCUUUAAAGUAAAUGUUCUUAAUCUCCGAGGCUCAAAGGAUUCAAAUACUUGCCCAAGGUCCCAGGUUCGUUUGAUUGACAGAGCAUGAGUACCCUCCUAAAUGCCCCUUGAGGUCUCUAUAUUUAAGAGGAAGCAGCUUCAGAACUCUAGCUCCCCACCCCAGGUCCAUUCCAGUUUACAAACUCCACAGCCACCUCAACAGCAGGAACAAAGAACACCCACAUCACCAACCCUGGGCCUCCCACCAGAGCC
rnacentral:lncRNA from 1 species